AACUUGCCCCUAACUGGGGAAUAGCCCUGGGAAACUGGGAUUAAUACCCCAUAAUAUUGACGAAUCUCAUGAAAUGUCAAUUAAAGUUCCGGCGGUUAGGGAUGGGUGUGCGUCUGAUUAGCUAGUUGGUAGGGUAACGGCCUACCAAGGCAACGAUCAGUAGGGGGCGUGAGAGCGUGAUCCCCCACACGGGUACUGAGACACGGACCCGACUCCUACGGGAGGCAGCAGUAAGGAAUAUUGGACAAUGGAGGCAACUCUGAUCCAGCCAUCCCGCGUGUAGGAAGAAGGCCCUAUGGGUUGUAAACUACUUUUGUCAGGGAAUAAACCUCUCGAUUUACUCGGGAGCUGAAGGUACCUGAAGAAUAAGCACCGGCUAACUCCGUGCCAGCAGCCGCGGUAAUACGGAGGGUGCAAGCGUUAUCCGGAAUCACUGGGUUUAAAGGGUGCGUAGGUGGUAUCGUAAGUCAGAAGUGAAAGUUUGCGGCUUAACCGUAAAAUUGCUU
rnacentral:rRNA from 1 species